rnacentral:rRNA from 1 species
UACGUAGGGUGCAAGCGUUAAUCGGAAUUACUGGGCGUAAAGCGUGCGUAGACGGCUAUCUAAGUCGGGUGUGAAAGCCCCGGGCUCAACCUGGGAAUUGCAUUCGAGACUGAAUAGCUAGGGUGCGGUAGAGGGAAGCGGAAUUUCCGGUGUAGCGGUGAAAUGCGUAGAUAUCGGAGGGAACAUCAGUGGCGAAAGCGGCUUCCUGGACCAGCACCGACGUCAGGCACGAAAGCGUGGGGAGCAAACAGG